CUCCUCCAGAUCUCUUCAUCCUUUGGAGCGUCCAAGGCCCUUAAAGAAGAAGGAAGAAAUCAGCCUCCAAGCUUUCUUGCAAGCUAGCACUUCCAACGACCUUGAUCUGUGUCGGUCUUCGUAUGGACUUUUUGGAGAGGACAGAUGACUUCGUGUGGAUAUGAGUAAUCUGAAGGAGAGCCUCUCCAAGUAUUGGACUAGAAGAGAUCAA
rnacentral:lncRNA from 1 species